CAAUAGCGUAUAUUUAAGUUGUUGCAGUUAAAAAGCUCGUAGUUGGAUUUUGGGUCGGGGGCACCGGUCCGCCGUUCCGGUGUGCACUGGUGGCCCCUUCCUUUCUGCCGGGGACGUGCGUCGCACUUAAUUGGGUGGCGUUCGGAGUCGGCGUUGUUACUUUGAAAAAAUUAGAGUGUUCAAAGCAAGCCAUCGCUCUGAAUACAUUAGCAUGGAAUAACAUGAUAGGACUCCGGUCUUAUUUUGUUGGUUUCCGAGACUGGAGUAAUGAUUAAGAGGGACAGUCGGGGGCAUCCGUAUUUCAUUGUCAGAGGUGAAAUUCUUGGAUUGUGUUGCGACGAACUACUGCGAAAGCAUUUGCCAAGGAUGUUUCCAUUGA
rnacentral:rRNA from 1 species